rnacentral:rRNA from 1 species
UACGAAGGGGGCUAGCGUUGCUCGGAAUCACUGGGCGUAAAGGGUGCGUAGGCGGGUCUUUAAGUCAGGGGUGAAAUCCUGGAGCUCAACUCCAGAACUGCCUUUGAUACUGAAGAUCUUGAGUCCGGGAGAGGUGAGUGGAACUGCGAGUGUAGAGGUGAAAUUCGUAGAUAUUCGCAAGAACACCAGUGGCGAAGGCGGCUCACUGGCCCGGUACUGACGCUGAGGAGCGAAAGCGUGGGUAGCGAACAGG